AAAUUUAAAAUUAAUAAUUUAAAUUUAAUAAAAGUAAUUUUAAUAUUAAAAUAAGGGGGUUAAAGUAUUUUAAUAGAAAAAAUUAGAAAUUUUAUAGUUAAUUAGUAUAGUAAUAGAAAUUUGAAAUAAAUGAAAAUAAAUUUAAUAAAAAGUAAAUUUAAUUUAUUGUAUCUUGUGUAUCAGAGUUUAUUAAAUAAUUUUUAAAAAUUUAAAUUUCUCGAAUUUAAAAGAGUUAAUUAAUUAAUAAAUUUAAUGUAAAAUAAUUAUUUUAAAUAAUUAAUUAGAAAUGAAAUGUUAAUCGUUUUUAAAUAUAUCUAGUUAUUUUAGAAAAAAAUUUAAUUUUAAAUUUAUUAAGAUAUUUACUUUAAAUAAUUAAUUUAAAUAGGAAUAAAUUUUAUAGUUUAAGGGAUAAUCUUUAAAUUAAAAAAUUAUAAUUAAUAAUUUUUAAUUUAAAAUUUUUAAAAUUUAUAUUGUUUAAAAAUUGAAGUUUUUUAUAAAAAAUUUUAAAAUAAAUAAAAUUUAAAAUAAAUUUAAUUUUAUAUAAAAGUAUAGUUUUUAAUUAUAAAAUAAUUAGAAAUAAUGAUAAAAUUAGUAUAAUAAAUAAAUAAUAAUAAGUAAAAUUGAUUUAAAAUUAAAUAAAAGGAAUUCGGCAAAAUUGUAUAUUCACCUGUUUAACAGAAACAUGUCGUUUUGAUUUUAAUUUAAAGUCUAAUCUGCCCACUGAUUUAAAAUUAAAGGGCUGCAGUAAUUUGACUGUACAAAGGUAGCAUAAUCAAUAGUCUUUUAAUUGAAGACUUGUAUGAAAGAUUUGAUGAAAUAUAAACUGUCUCUUAUUUAUAUUUAAAAUUUAAUUUUUUAGUUAAAAAGCUAAAAUAAAUUUAAAAGACGAGAAGACCCUAUAGAGUUUAAUAAUUUGUAAUUUAAAAUAUUUAUAUAAAAUUUUAAUAUUUAAUAGAAUAAAUUAUUUUAUUGGGGGGAUAGAAAAAUUAAUUAAACUUUUUUUUUUAUUUAUCAUAAAUAAGUGAAUUUAUUGAUCCUAGUUAAAGAUUAUAAGAAAAAAUUACCUUAGGGAUAACAGCGUAAUAUUUUUUUUUAGUACAAAUAAAAAAAAAAGUUUGCGACCUCGAUGUUGGAUUAAGAUAAAAUUUAAAUGCAAAAGUUUAAAAUUUUGAUCUGUUCGAUCAUUAAAAUCUUACAUGAUCUGAGUUCAAACCGGUGUAAGCCAGGUUGGUUUCUAUCUUUAAAAAAAUAAAAUAUUUUA
rnacentral:rRNA from 1 species